GACGAACGCUGGCGGCGUGCUUAACACAUGCCAGUCGAACGGAAAGUCCCUGCUUUUGUGGGGUGCUCGAGUGGCGAACGGGUGAGUAACACGUGAGUAACCUGCCCUUGACUUUGGGAUAACUUCAGGAAACUGGGGCUAAUACCGGAUAGGAGCUCCUGCUGCAUGGUGGGGGUUGGAAAGUUUCGGCGGUUGGGGAUGGACUCGCGGCUUAUCAGCUUGUUGGUGGGGUAGUGGCUUACCAAGGCUUUGACGGGUAGCCGGCCUGAGAGGGUGACCGGCCACAUUGGGACUGAGAUACGGCCCAGACUCCUACGGGAGGCAGCAGUGGGGAAUAUUGCACAAUGGGCGGAAGCCUGAUGCAGCAACGCCGCGUGCGGGAUGAUGGCCUUCGGGUUGUAAACCGCUUUCGCCUGUGACGAAGCGUGAGUGACGGUAAUGGGUAAAGAAGCACCGGCUAACUACGUG
rnacentral:rRNA from 1 species